rnacentral:rRNA from 1 species
UACAGAGGGUGCAAGCGUUAAUCGGAAUUAUUGGGCGUAAAGAGUACGUAGGUGGAUAUUUAAGUUAAUUGUGAAAGUUUUUAGCUCAACUAAAAGAUUGCAUUUAAUACUAUUUAUCUAGAGUUUUGUAGAGGAAAGUGGAAUUUCCAGUGUAGCGGUGAAAUGCGUAGAUAUUGGAAGGAACACCAGUGGCGAAGGCGACUUUCUGGACAAAUACUGACACUGAGGUACGAAAGCAUGGGGAGCAAACAGG